AACGAACGCUGGCGGCAUGCCUAACACAUGCAAGUCGAACGAGACCUUCGGGUCUAGUGGCGCACGGGUGCGUAACGCGUGGGAACCUGCCCUUAGGUUCGGAAUAACUCCCCGAAAGGGGUGCUAAUACCGGAUAAUGUCUUCGAACCAAAGAUUUAUCGCCUUUGGAUGGGCCCGCGUUGGAUUAGCUAGUUGGUAGGGUAAAAGCCUACCAAGGCGACGAUCCAUAGCUGGUCUGAGAGGAUGAUCAGCCACACUGGGACUGAGACACGGCCCAGACUCCUACGGGAGGCAGCAGUGGGGAAUAUUGGACAAUGGGCGAAAGCCUGAUCCAGCAAUGCCGCGUGAGUGAUGAAGGCCUUAGGGUUGUAAAGCUCUUUUACCCGGGAUGAUAAUGACAGUACCGGGAGAAUAAGCUCCGGCUAACCCCGU
rnacentral:rRNA from 1 species